GGUUAACCCAGAAGAUCACUUUCUCAUCUUUGCUUCUGAUGGUCUGUAGGAGCAUCUUAGCAAUGAGCAGGCUGUCAACAUUGUCCAUCACUAUCCACGGACUGGAAUUGCAAAGAGACUGGUUAAAGCAGCACUAAAAGUAGCAGCGAGGAAAAGAGAAAUGAGAUACACACACCUGAAAAAGAUUGAUGGAAGAGUAAGAAGACAUUUCCACGAUGACAUCACUGUGAUAGUUGUAAAUCUAUAUCCCAAUUUGAUUGACAGGAGCUUCAACCGCAGCUCACCCUUUUCAAUAACAGGAGGCCUCACUUAAUAAUUCAUUCUCUGCAAAUUUCUAGAGUUGCAGACAAUGGAAUUUGUUCAGUUUUCUGGGAGAUUUGUUGCUUUGGAACAACAGUCUCUUCUCCCUGGAGAAGCAUGAGACAUAUAAGGUGGAGAAGAACUGACCAAAUAUGAGCCUUAAGGAGUUAUUGAAAUCUCCGUAGAUAUAAGUUUCUCUCAUUUGAAGAUGCAGCUUAAUGCAUUUUCAUUAUUGAGGCUCUGAAGUUUGAUGAGUUUUUACUUGGAAAUUAUUUGGCAGUCGCAAUACAUUAUGAAAUAUCAAUUUCAUUUGCUA